GCAUGCAAGUCGCGCGGGAUCUUAUAGUUUGAAACUUCGGACGAUUUCUAUAAGUGAGAGCGGCGCAAGGGAGAGUAACGCGUAGUUACCUGCCCUAGGGUCCGGAAUAGCCUCGGGAAACUGAGGGUAAUGCCGGAUAAUGUCUUUGGAUCAAAGGUGUGAUUCCGCCCUAGGAGGGGACUGCGUCCUACUAGCUUGUUGGUGGGGUAACGGCCUACCAAGGCUUUGAUGGGUAGCGGGCGUGAGAGCGUGGCCCGCCUCACUGGGACUGAGACACUGCCCAGACACCUACGGGUGGCUGCAGUCGAGAAUCUUCGGCAAUGGGCGAAAGCCUGACCGAGCAACGCCGCGUGCGGGAUGAAUGCCUUCGGGUUGUAAACCGCUGUCAGUUGGGAGGAAAUCAAUAGGGGUUAUCCCCUAUAGUUGACCUAUCUUCAGAGGAAGUCCGGACUAAGUUCGUGCCAGCAGCCGCGGUAAGACGAACCGGACAAACGUUAUUCGGAAUCAUUGGGCUUAAAGGGUGCGCAGGCGGUGCGGUAAGUUAGGUGUGAAAGCCCUCGGCUCAACCGAGGAAUUGCGCUUAAUACUGCCGUGCUAGAGGGAGACAGAGGUAAGCGGAACUGAUGGUGGAGCGGUGAAAUGCGUUGAUAUCAUCAGGAACACCCGUGGCGUAAGCGGCUUACUGGGUCUCUUCUGACGCUGAGGCACGAAAGCUAGGGGAGCGAACGGGAUUAGAUACCCCGGUAGUCCUAGCUGUAAACGAUGAGCACUUGGUCGAGGAUCCCCCCAUAGAUUCUUGGCCGAAGCGAAAGUGUUAAGUGCUCCGCCUGGGGAGUAUGGUCGCAAGGGUGAAACUCAAAGGGAUUGACGGGGGCUCACACAAGCGGUGGAGGAUGUGGCUUAAUUCGAGGCUACGCGAAGAACCUUAUCCUAGAUUUGACAUGGUAGAAUGGCAUACCUGAAAGGGAUAUGUCUGCCUUCGGGUGAAACUAUCACAGGUGCUGCAUGGCUGUCGUCAGCUCGUGUCGUGAGAUGUCGGGUUAAGUCCCUUAACGAGCGACACCCUUAUCUUUAGUUGCCAGCGAGUAUGUCGGGGACUCUAGAGAG
rnacentral:rRNA from 1 species